GGACACUAAUGUUUUUGUCACUUUUUAUGGAAUCAAACUCAAAAUAAGGACCCACUGCACAAGUGUAGGCUCUGACAGUGGGCCGAAGAAUUUCAUCCUAAUACCUAAUGGCAGUCAGGGUGCUAUUCCCUGUUCCCUCUAUGGAUAUACCUCCCCGGACCAUCCCUGACGCACCACCAAAUUCAUCAUGCUGAACAAUCUUACGGGCAGCAAAACAUUCUUCACGACUUCUCUAGACCCUUUCCUCGUGUGUCACAUGUGCUCAGGAUGAACUUGCUCCCAUCUGUGAAAAGUACAGGGGACCGAGUGAUGGCUCUGCCAAUUCUAGUAUUCUAUGGCAAAUGCCAGUUGGGUUCCAUGCUGCUGGGGGGGGUGAGCACAGGCCCCUCCUGAAGACUGUUUCUGUUUGUUUCAUCAGACACAUUCACAACAGUGGAGAUCAUUUUAUAGUGCAGUGGUCCUGUUCAACCUUCCACAAAGGAGCAGACACUGCUAGUACUGAUGGUUUGAGUCCACUCUCUAUCUGUCUCCUGAAACCAACUCCAUGCUCUUGAAACUGUGCUGGAAGACACAGAACAGCACAUCAAUAUCCCAGAAGUUUAACUGGCAUGAUGCUAUACUCUGAAUAAAAGUGUAGAUUACAUUUUUUGAGCAGUGUAUAAAACCAUGUCUGCAGCACUUGUUUAGUGACUAAAAAAGUGAUAAAUAUUUUGUAAAUGUGUUAAAUGAAGAAUAUAUUAAAAUAAUAUAAACACA